AGAGUUUGAUCCUGGCUCAGGAUUAACGCUGGCGGCGUGCCUAAUACAUGCAAGUCGAACGGAAGUACCUUCGGGUACUUUAGUGGCGAACGGGUGAGUAAUACAUAGGUAACCUACCCUUAAGACGAGGAUAGCCAUUGGAAACGAUGGAUAAAACUGGAUAGGAUAUAGAGGAAGAAUCUUUUAUAUUUAAGAGAGAGAUCUGCUUAAGGAGGGGCCUGUGGCGCAUUAGCUAGUUGGUGGGGUAAGGGCCUACCAAGGCGAUGAUGCGUAGCCGGACUGAGAGGUUGAACGGCCACAAUGGAACUGAGAACGGUCCAUACUCCUACGGGAGGCAGCAGUAGGGAAUUUUCGGCAAUGGGGGGAACCCUGACCGAGCAACGCCGCGUGAACGAAGAAGUUAUUCGUAAUGUAAAGUUCUUUUAUCAGGGAAGAAAGAGGAAUUUGACGGUACCUGAGGAAUAAGCUCCGGCUAACUACGUGCCAGCAGCCGCGGUAAUACGUAGGGAGCGAGCGUUAUCCGGAAUUAUUGGGCGUAAAGGGUGCGUAGAUGGCAUAGUAAGUCUUUUGUAAAAAUGCUGGGCUCAACCCAGUAGGGCAAAAGAUACUGCAAAGCUAGAGUAUGACAGAGGCAAGUGGAACUACAUGUGUAGCGGUAAAAUGCGUAAAUAUAUGUAAGAACACCAGUGGCGAAGGCGGCUUGCUGGGUCGAUACUGACAUUGAGGCACGAAAGCGUGGGGAGCAAACAGGAUUAGAUACCCUGGUAGUCCACGCCCUAAACGAUGAGUACUAAGUGUUGGUGAGAAUCAGUGCUGAAGUUAACGCUUUAAGUACUCCGCCUGAGUAGUACGUACGCAAGUAUGAAACUUAAAGGAAUUGACGGGAGCCCGCACAAGCGGUGGAGCAUGUUGUUUAAUUCGACGAUACGCGAAGAACCUUACCAGGUCUUGACAUAGCACGCGAAGGCGUAGAGAUACGUUGGAGGAUAGCGUGCAUACAGGUGGUGCAUGGUUGUCGUCAGCUCGUGUCGUGAAAUGUUGGGUUAAGUCCCGCAACGAGCGCAACCCUUAUUUCUAGUUACCAGCAGUAAGAUGGGGACUCUAGAGAGACUGCCAUUGAUAAAAUGGAGGAAGGUGGGGAUGACGUCAAAUCAUCAUGCCCUAUAUGACCUGGGCUACAAACGUGCUACAAUGGCUGAAACAAAGAGAAGCGAGCCCGCGAGGGGGAGCGAACCUCAAAAAAGCAGUCUCAGUUCGGAUUGAAGUCUGCAACUCGACUUCAUGAAGAUGGAAUCGCUAGUAAUCGCGAAUCAGAAUGUCGCGGUGAAUACGUUCUCGGGCUUUGCACUCACCGCCCGUCA
rnacentral:rRNA from 1 species